UCCGGUGUGGUGUAGUUGGUCAGCAAACGCGGCGGCUCUCGUCUCAGGAGCGCUCUCUCCUGAGAAGAGAGAAGCCGUGGGACCCAAGUUCGAUCCUUGGCGCCGGAC